AAUCUGGUUGAUCCUGCCAGAAGUCAUAUGCUUGUCUUAAAGAUUAAGCCAUGCAUGUCUAAGUAUAAAUAGUAUACAGUGAAACUGCGAAUGGCUCAUUAAAACAGUUAUAGUUUAUUUGAUAGUGCAAAUUACAUGGAUAACCGUGGUAAUUCUAGAGCUAAUACAUGCGCAAAUACCGGACGCAAGAAUGGUAGCAUUUAUUAGAUUUAACCAUCACAUGGUGAAUCAUAGUAACUUAGCUGACCGCGUGUAUACGUGGUAAAUCAUUCAAGUUUCUGCCCUAUCAGCUUUCGAUGGUAGUGUAUUGGACUACCAUGGCAGUCACGGGUAACGGAGAAUUAGGGUUCGAUUCCGGAGAGGGAGCCUGAGAAACGGCUACCACAUCUAAGGAAGGCAGCAGGCGCGUAAAUUACCCAAUCCCGAUUCGGGGAGGUAGUGACAAGAAAUAGCAACUCGUGCGGGUUUCCGUUACGGGAUUGCAAUGAGAUAAGUCCAAAUCCGUAAACGAUUAACAAUUGGAGGGCAAGUCUGGUGCCAGCAGCCGCGGUAAUUCC
rfam:Reticulomyxa filosa solexa3781821_1.f1.exp, whole genome shotgun sequence.